rnacentral:tRNA from 1 species
GGGCCCUUAGCUCAGUUGGUAGAGCGUCUCAUUUGCAAUGAGAAGGUCACCGGUUCGAGUCCGGUAGGGUCCACCA